GUCAGUAACAAAUAAUAGGAGGUACGCUCCAGACGUCACCACCUAUUAUUUGUUGUUUCGC
rnacentral:precursor_RNA from 1 species